rnacentral:rRNA from 1 species
UACAGAGGGUGCAAGCGUUGUUCGGAAUUAUUGGGCGUAAAGCGCGUGUAGGCGGCUUUGCAAGUCGGGUGUGAAAUCCCUCGGCUUAACCAAGGAAGUGCAUCCGAAACUGCAGUGCUUGAGUACUUAAGAGGAUCGCGGAAUUCCCGGUGUAGAGGUGAAAUUCGUAGAUAUCGGGAGGAACACCGGUGGCGAAGGCGGCGACCUGGUUCAAAACUGACGCUGAGGCGCGAAAGCGUGGGGAGCAAACAGG